UACGUAGGGGGCAAGCGUUGUCCGGAAUUAUUGGGCGUAAAGCGCGUGUAGGCGGCUCGGUAGGUCCGCUGUGAAAACUCGAGGCUCAACCUCGAGAUGUCGGCGGAAACCACUUUGGCUAGAGUCCGGAAGAGGAGAGUGGAAUUCCUGGUGUAGCGGUGAAAUGCGCAGAUAUCAGGAAGAACACCUAUGGCGAAGGCAGCUCUCUGGGACGGUACUAACGCUGAGACGCGAAAGCGUGGGGAGCGAACAGG
rnacentral:rRNA from 1 species